rnacentral:rRNA from 1 species
AGCGAACGCUGGCGGCAGGCCUAACACAUGCAAGUCGAACGAAGUCUUCGGACUUAGUGGCGGACGGGUGAGUAACACGUGGGAACGUGCCUUUAGGUUCGGAAUAACUCAGGGAAACUUGUGCUAAUACCGAAUGUGCCCUUCGGGGGAAAGAUUUAUCGCCUUUAGAGCGGCCCGCGUCUGAUUAGCUAGUUGGUGGGGUAAUGGCCCACCAAGGCUACGAUCAGUAGCUGGUCUGAGAGGAUGACCAGCCACAUUGGGACUGAGACACGGCCCAAACUCCUACGGGAGGCAGCAGUGGGGAAUCUUGCGCAAUGGGCGAAAGCCUGACGCAGCCAUGCCGCGUGGAUGAUGAAGGUCUUAGGAUUGUAAAAUCCUUUCACCGGUGAAGAUAAUGACGGUACCCGGAGAAGAAGCCCCGGCUAACUUCGUGCCAGCCGCCGCCGUAACAC